GAUGAACGCUGGCGGCGUGCCUAAUACAUGCAAGUCGAGCGAACGGACGAGAAGCUUGCUUCUCUGAUGUUAGCGGCGGACGGGUGAGUAACACGUGGAUAACCUACCUAUAAGACUGGGAUAACUUCGGGAAACCGGAGCUAAUACCGGAUAAUAUUUUGAACCGCAUGGUUCAAAAGUGAAAGACGGUCUUGCUGUCACUUAUAGAUGGAUCCGCGCUGCAUUAGCUAGUUGGUAAGGUAACGGCUUACCAAGGCAACGAUGCAUAGUCGACCUGAGAGGGUGAUCGGCCACACUGGAACUGAGACACGGUCCAGACUCCUACGGGAGGCAGCAGUAGGGAAUCUUCCGCAAUGGGCGAAAGCCUGACGGAGCAACGCCGCGUGGGUGAUGAAGGUCUUCGGAUCGUAAAACUCUGUUAUUAGGGAAGAACAUAUGUGUAAGUAACUGUGCACAUCUUGACGGUACCUAAUCAGAAAGCCACGGCUAACUACGUG
rnacentral:rRNA from 1 species